rnacentral:ncRNA from 1 species
UUCGUAAAAGCAAAUUAAAAGGGAAUCGGGUGCAAAUCCCGAACAGUCCCGCUGCUGUGAAGCUCUAUUCAACAUUCUGAAAAAACUGAGCCACUGGUCUAUGACCGGGAAGGCUUCAGAAUGGGAGUAAGUCAGAAGACCUGCCAUUCAUUAAA